rnacentral:SRP_RNA from 1 species
UUUGGGGAAGCGGGUAAGGAAUUGAGUGCUUACUCUGUCAGGUCCGAAAGGAAGCAGCAGGAGUGCUUUGGUUCUUGUAGCCGGUUCCCCAUCUGU